rnacentral:rRNA from 1 species
GACAGAGGGUGCAAACGUUGUUCGGAAUUACGGGGCGUAAAGCGUAUGCAGGCGGACUUUUAAGUCGGGGGUGAAAUCCCGAGGCUCAACCUCGGAACUGCCUUCGAUACUGGAAGUCUUGAGUCCGGGAGAGGUGAGUGGAACUGCGAGUGUAGAGGUGAAAUUCGUAGAUAUUCGCAAGAACACCAGUGGCGAAGGCGGCUCACUGGCCCGGUACUGACGCUGAGGUGCGAAAGCGUGGGGAGCAAACAGG